ACAGGCUGAGUUGGUAAUCGCAGAAGUAUUUUGUCCCAUCCUGUUAGCACCUUGCCGGGUAGCAAUGCUUUUGGAGUCAGGAAACUUCAAUUCUUAGCAGAACUUGUGCUAUCACAGCCCAUCCAUCAGCCCUGGGAGGUAUUCCAAAAAGCUAAGAAAAAACAGUUGCUGGAAUUGUUCUGGAGAAGUACGUCUUGAGGCAAUCACAAGGAGAAAUCACAAUAGUUAAGGAAAGAGGAAUCUAUAGUUUAUUAUUUGCUGGUGAGCUGAAGAAGAAAACCUGGUAUAUAAAAAAGAAGACAAAGACAGAACACGAAGAAAUCCUAGUACCAUCCAUGAAGUUUGUUUGAAUUGCAGAGAGAUCCAGAUCUAGCUGCUUAUCUAAAUCUUCUUCUGAAGUGUUAUAGGUAAAAA